rnacentral:lncRNA from 1 species
AUUAUCAACUAGUUUGAGAGAUCUUCAUUAUACUCAUCCAGUACAUGGACUUAAGCAUCCAGUUUCAAGAUUUGGACAUCUCAAAGUUCCAAUUAUUACCAUUGCUGACUCAUCUAUUCUGAAACAUCUUCAAUCGAUACUUAUGACUAGCUCUUCAUUGUUAACUCUUAACUGGAACUACUAUUCUUAAAAACAUAAGAAUUACAAGAAAAUGGCACUCCAGCCAAUCCAAAACAAUACCACAGAAUGACUUUAACUAGU